rnacentral:rRNA from 1 species
AGAGUUUGAUCAUGGCUCAGAUUGAACGCUGGCGGCAGGCCUAACACAUGCAAGUCGAACGGUAGCACAGAGGAGCUUGCUCCUUGGGUGACGAGUGGCGGACGGGUGAGUAAUGUCUGGGAAACUGCCCGAUGGAGGGGGAUAACUACUGGAAACGGUAGCUAAUACCGCAUAACGUCGCAAGACCAAAGAGGGGGACCUUCGGGCCUCGCACCAUCAGAUGAACCCAUAUGGGAUUAGCUAGUAGGUGGGGUAACGGCUCACCUAGGCGACGAUCCCUAGCUGGUCUGAGAGGAUGAUCAGCCACACUGGGACUGAGACACGGCCCAGACUCCUACGGGAGGCAGCAGUGGGGAAUAUUGCACAAUGGGCGCAAGCCUGAUGCAGCCGUGCCGCGUGUAUGAAGAAGGCCUUCGGGUUGUAAAGUACUUUCAGUCGGGAGGAAGGUGUUAAGGUUAAUAACCUUGGUGAUUGACGUUACUCGCAGAAGAAGCACCGGCUAACUCCGUGCCAGCAGCCGCGGUAAUAC